GGAAGAGCUUGUUUUGGUAGGAAGCAGCUUGGAAGGGGCUCGCUCGUCCUGACGUACUUUGGUAGCUGUCCACACUGUACCGGGUCCUCAUCUGCCUCUUGAUGACAGCAUGUAAAAUGCAUCCUUUCCUUCUUCCUUCCACCGGUACUUACCUCCUACCUGUCUCCCCGCUUCCCCUGCUGCACCAUCCACCCGCAGAUAUUGAACUGCACAGAUUUUGUUUCUCCAUAUGUCCCAAUUGGU